CCCUAGCCCUGAUUGAGGCUUUGUUGGAGCUCUUUUUUUAUUUUUUGCAAAAAUAUAAAAAAGCGACUGCCGAAAGCAGGAAAUAGC
rnacentral:misc_RNA from 1 species